CAGCUAGUGGGCCCCAUGGUGGUGUUUGUGAGUAGGGGCACUCUCUCCAGCAUCUUGAACCCCGAGAAAAUGAAUCUCAAGCGGGCCAAACCAUGUUAAAUAGCUAGGGGAGAGGGGUUUAAGCGAACUGGCUCCAUUUUGUUUUUAAAGCUCGAACAUGCUGUUUUCUGACCGGUCUGGUCGAUAUAUGCCUGGAACCGGCCUGUUUGGUACGGUUUGGCAAACCAUGGGGGGAAGCUUUGAUUGGGAUGUCUAGGGCAUGAGCGAUCAAACCUGCAGCUUGUCAUGUGAUCUAUUUGUCCGUAGGUCAAGUUGCUCAACUUAGGCCUGAUCUGCAGCCCUUUGGCAACUUGAAUCGCAACAUGUAGUUUAACUAUAGGCCUCCAAGUCCAAACACUUGUAGUGAUGCUCACCUGCAGGUGGAGCUGCAUCCUACAGAGCUCAAAUACAUCCUAAAUGAAUGUUCUGUGUACUACACUCCAAGGAGAAGAUCUGUGAUAUGAUGCAUGGUAGAACUAGAGCUGAGACCUAAAAGUUACUAAACUAUUUGUCCUGCCAUGAAGUAUUUAAUUAAAACUCUGAAGUUCAAGAAGAUUCCAAGCAUACAUGCUGUCCGGUCUUUUAAUUCUUUCCUCUGAACACCAAGUAAGCCUGUCCAUAGCCAAACAUGUGUAGCUGUGGUCUAGCCAAAUCAUGAAUUUCCCUUGCUGCUCUUGGUUGCACCAGAGGGCUGUUGAAAUGGAAUGGAAAAGCAGGAAGCAAAGGUUUAAUAUUUCUUUCAGUUUUACUGACUACUUGUUUGAGGCA
rnacentral:lncRNA from 1 species